UCUUAGAGGUCUAGAUGACCACUUUAUUUGUGAGAAUAGGGUACUAAAAUCACCUACUACCUCUCUCUGUGGUGACAUUAAUUUGUCAUAUUAAGUGUAAAAGUGUUUCUUUUAUGAAGUUGGGUACUCCUAAGUUUGGUGUAUAUAUGUUUAAGAUUGUAAUAUCUUAUUUGGUGACUUUUUCCUUUAAUGACUAUAAAAUCCCCUCCCACCUCUUCUGGUUAGAUCUGUCUUGAAGUUUGUUUUAUUGGAAAGUAGAAUAUGUAUGCUUGGUUGUUUGUUAGUUCCAUUGGCUUGGAAUAACUUAAAGAAAUGUCUUCUAUUAGUCAUGACAUAUGUUUCUUUGAAAGCAGAAAAAAAGAUAAAUAUUGUUUCCUGUUCCAACUUAUUAGCCUGGUGUCUCUUCACUGAAGAACCAAAACCAUUAAUAUUAUAGGUAACUACUGAAUAGCAUAUUAUUAAUUCCUGUCAUUUUGAUUUUUUGGUGGUGUGCUAUUUGACAUUUUAAAAUCUGGAGUUACUUGUUCCUUGUGCCUUGGGAAUGUUUAACCUUCUCUUCAGAUCUAAAUAUCCCUUCUGGUCUUCUCUGUACAACUAGCUCAGUAGCUAUACAUCCCUUUCAUCUGUUUUCUAAAGGAGAGCUUUCCUUUCUCUACUGAUUAUGACUCACAGUUCUGGUGAGUAUUGUAGUCUGGGCUGGCCCCUGUGGUCUUUCAUAACUCAUAGAACACUAGCCCAACCUUUUUGUCUUUCACUGUCUCCAUUCAAAAGUUGGCUGUUAUUCUGAUGAGUCUACCUUUGUAUGAGACUUGUUCUUUUUUUUUCCUGCAGCUUUUAAUAUCCUUUGUGUGUUUUGUACAUUUAUAGUUUCGAUUAUUAUAUGAUGUGGGGAGUUUCUCUACCUAGAGAAAAAAGGCAGGUGUAAGACAUGUGAACCUUGUGGCAUAGGUGGGUCUCAGGGGUGGGUGUAGUUACUGGUGUUUAGUGUUCCUCCCUGGAGGGGAGUUGUCCUCAGGUCAAAAGGAUUGGUGGAGUUUAUGGCACAAGUUCGUUCUUUCUGUCUGGAGAAGAAGUCAACAAGAAGCCAAAAGCUCUAUGACGAGACAGCUCUGCUCUUCCUGGGAACCUCUUACCUUGAUUUAUUUUCUAUUGCUGGAAUAAGAUACCAUGGCCAAGGUGACUUAUAAAACAGAGUGUUGAGCUUAUGAUUUCAGAAGAUCAGAGUCCAUCAUGUCAGAGCAAAGGCAUGGCAGCAGGAACAGCUGAGAGCUCACUUUUUGAUCUGCAAGUAAGAGGCAGAGAGAGAGAGAGAGAGAGAGAGAGAGAGAGAGAGAGAGGACUUUCAAAACCUCAAGGUUCAUCCCCAGACACACCACCUCAAGGGCACACCUCUAAUCCUUCCCAAACAAUUCUACCAAGUGGGGACCAAGUGUUCAAACCUAUGAGACUGGGGGGGGGCUAUUAUCAUUUAGACCACCACAUCCCAUUCCCUGGCCUCCAUAAGGUCAUGGUCAUAUCAUAAUGCAAAACACAUUUAGUUAACUUCAAAAGUCCCCAUAGUGUUUUACAGGCUGUUUUCUGAGACAACCCAAUCCAGUCUCUUCGCUAUAAUCCCCUAGAAAAUAAAAGGCAAAUCACAUACUUCCAACAUGCAAAGGCACAGAAUCUAUAGUACCAUUCCAAAAAGAAGAAAUGGGGACAUAGUGAGGACAUACUCACCAAAGAACAACACCCGGCAAACAAAACUCCAAAUCCUAUAGCUUUGUGUCUGAUGUCAGUGGACUUAGAUGGUCCCACCCCUUCAGCUUGACUGCCUACAGCACACUUUUCUUUCUUGGCCUGGUUCCAUUCCCUGUCUAAAGCCCUCCUUGGCCAAUGCCUCACAGCUCUGACAUUGCCAACAUCUUGGGGACUCUAAUGCAAGCCAGGCUUCACUUUCACAGCUUCACACAAUGGCCUUUCAGGGACUCCAUGCAAGGCCUGCCCUUUUUGGAGGAGGUAUGUCAUCAGAGUGUGCUGUGAGGUUUCAAAAGCCCACACCUUCCCAAUUAGUUCUCUCUGUCUUGUGGUUUUCAUGGAUUUCAGCAUGU
rnacentral:lncRNA from 1 species